UUGACUUCAUGUUAUCAUUUUAGUGCAAUCGUUCAUUAGUGAGACAAAACGAUGUGUAUAGCAUAUUGAUAUUAUUCUGUAUAAGCUCUAUCUCUUUUUACUUAUUCUACUUUCUUGUCCACUAUCUGUCAUCUUUAAUUGCGGAAAUCUAAAUUACCUAUAUACAUACCAAGGAUGAAAACAAGUAAUUCCUUUAGUAAUUUGGAGAAUUUGUUCCUAAUCCUUUUCUCAGUGAAUAAAAUAUGUUUAAAACAAAGACUGUCGUAAGUCCAGUUCUGAUGUCAUAGCUCUUCAAUUGCAUUGUGAAACAGGCCCAUAGGUAUCCUAACGUACACACUCCUCCAUAGUGGACACUUCAACCAUUCCU